CGGCAGUAUCCAGACUUAGUCAAGAAGUCUACCAAAGAAGAUGAUUCGGCAGAUAUGGAAGAGGAAGAUAAUCCUCCAGCAUAUGAAUCCACUGACACUAAAGAGGAAGAAGAGAAUAGAGACAUGGGUUUAGUUGAUGAAGAGGAAGAGGAGGAGGACAGACCUGUUGUAGUAUAUAACAAGGAGAAUCCAUUAUUUGCAGAAGGUUGGAUAUUCCCCUCUUUGUUGGACUGUAAGAAUGCACUUUCUACGUUUGCAAUUAAACGUGAAUUUGACUAUACAGUCGAAAAGAGUGAUUCUAAGAGGCUGAGAGCAAGUUGUGCAUAUAAGAGGUGUAAGUGGAGAAUUCAUGGCUCUUAUAUGAGGAAUAGCACAAUAUUUCAGAUCAAGGUGUGUCCUUUCUCUCAUACAUGCCCAACUAAGCUGAGAAGUGAGAAGUUCAAGCCGGCAAAGAGCAGGUGGGUUGCUGAUGUUGUGCUGGAGUGGGUGAGAAAGAACCCAGAUAUUGGCCCUACUGCUCUUCAAGAGAAGAUCCAUGAGAAGUACCACUUCACGGUGCCAUACAUGUGUGUAUCUCGUGGUAAGGACAAAGCAAUGGAUAUGAUUAGUGGAAAAUGGGAAGAUAGCUUCCAUCGUCUCUAUAGUUUCAAGGCUGAGGUGGAGAAGUGUUCUCCUGGUAGUGUAGUGGAAAUAGACAAAGAAACUGUG
rnacentral:rRNA from 1 species